rnacentral:tRNA from 1 species
UCCCUGGUGGCUCAGAUGGUAAAGAAUCUGCCUGCAAUGCAGAAGACCCAGGUUUGAUCCCUGGGUCGGGAA